CUCACUCUCCAAGCGCUCUAGGUUUUCGUUUUGAAUCCUGAGAGACUCCUCCACAUUCGCACAAUCUUUUCUCAUCGAUUGGACACUGCCGGCGGCGGGAAGAAGGGAGGACCGAACCUAGCUCCUUACUCGUCUUAGAAGCUUCCUCCGAGCUUUAAGUCUUCAAGGAAAGUGAGAGAGGACCAUCAACGAGCUUAGAAAGAUAUCAAUCAUCCAAAACCGUCCCUUAUAUAAAGAUGAACCUGGCAAGCUGGUUCGAAGUGCAAUCAGAAUAAAGAACACUAGCAAGUCCUAUGUAGCGUUCAAGUUUCAAACAACUGCACCAAAAAGUUGUUUUAUGCGUCCUCCUGGAGCAAUACUUUCUCUCGGAGAGAGUAUAGCAACUGUUUCCAAGUUUGUGGAGCAUCCAGAGAAUAAUGAGAAACCAUUGCUUGAUCAGAAAAACAAAGUUAAGUUUAAGAUCAUGAGUUUGAAGGUGAAAGGGCCUAUGGAAUAUGUUCCAGAACUGUUGCUACUACAAGGCUAUGGACAACUAAAGAAAGAGAAUACACCCGUUCAAGCUACGGGUAUGUUCUAACAAGAGUGUGUUUUGGCCCAUUUGCACCUAUGGGAUCCCAGCAUUUCAAUGUUUUGUCUCAACUGUCGGUAAUAACUUCACCUGAAACAUUAAUGAAUUUGUAUUAAAAAAUACAAGAUGAAAAUAAAACUUUGCAUAACUGGGCAUUAAA